GCGUUGGUGGUUCAGUGGUAGAAUUCUUGCCUUCCAUGCAAGAGACCCAGGCCAAUGUA
rnacentral:tRNA from 1 species